rnacentral:lncRNA from 1 species
CUGGGCUUUCUCUGGUGUGGGCUGUGAUGCUUGCUCGUGCUCCAGUCUCAGCCGCUGGAUUUCCUGCAGUAUCUCUCUGUUUUUGUUUUCCAGCUCUGCUAUCAGCUGUCUUUGCUGUUUGUUGGCAUCGAAGUUAAAACCCAGGUCUGUGGGUGGGCGAGGCGUGUUGCUGGCCUCAGCGGCCAGCCUGGCUGCGUAGCGGGCGA